rnacentral:rRNA from 1 species
CCGAGUUUCACUCCCAAACCCCUGUGAACAUACCUAUACGUUGCCUCGGCGGAUCAGCCCGCGCCCCGUAAAACGGGACGGCCCGCCCGAGGACCCUAAACUCUGUUUUUAGUGGAACUUCUGAGUAAAACAAACAAAUAAAUCAAAACUUUCAACAACGGAUCUCUUGGUUCUGGCAUCGAUGAAGAACGCAGCAAAAUGCGAUAAGUAAUGUGAAUUGCAGAAUUCAGUGAAUCAUCGAAUCUUUGAACGCACAUUGCGCCCGCCAGUAUUCUGGCGGGCAUGCCUGUUCGAGCGUCAUUUCAACCCUCAAGCUCAGCUUGGUGUUGGGACUCGCGGUAACCCGCGUUCCCCAAAUCGAUUGGCGGUCACGUCGAGCUUCCAUAGCGUAGUAAUCAUACACCUCGUUACUGGUAAUCGUCGCGGCCACGCCGUAAAACCCCAACUUCUGAAUGUUGACCUCGGAUCAGGUAGGAAUACCCGCUG